rnacentral:lncRNA from 1 species
GCAUCCGAAUUUACCUAGGUGGUGAACCAGGGAGGAAGGCCGCCACUCCUCAAGAUUAGUCAGGCGAAACUUGGACACUUGAGUUAUCAUAAAAAAUAAAAAUAAUAAAUAAAUAAAAAUUAAUAAUGUCGGUGCCAUAGUUUUUUAGUAUUUAAUAUUGUCCAUGAAGAGCAAUUUCAAAUUCUAUGAGGUUGUUUAGUAGAAACUUAUACUUAAUUUUUAAAUUUAUAUAUAUAUAUAUAUAUAUAUAUAUAUANNNNNNNNNNNNNNNNNNNNNNNNNNNNNNNNNNNNNNNNNNNNNNNNNNNNNNNNNNNNNNNNNNNGGUGCAUAACUUAUAUUGUUGCUCUUGGAAAACACAAUUUAUUCAAAUCAGUAUGCUAUUAGAAAGUUAUUUGUUCUUGAAGAGCAUAAUAUUAUAAUAUCUAAUAUAAAUUAUGUUUUUGUUCUUGAAGAGUAAAUCUUUGCAUAAUUUAUAUUUUAAAUAAUAAUAUUUUCUUGCUCCCGGAGGGUAUUACGUUAAAAUUCUAAUUUUUCAAAAGAAUAUUGAUAUGUUGCUCUUGAUAUAGCUAUAGUAAAUACAAAGUGCUCUCCAAGUAACAAAUGUUUCGAAAUAUAUAUUAUUUUAAAUUAUUGUUUAUCCUUAAAAGAAGAUACAACUCACGUCAUGUAGACAUUAACUCUUAUAUGAUUAUAUCAUGAUUAAUCAUAUUUACGAAAAUUAACUAAGUCUUUUGUUUAAUUAAAUAGUUAUUCAAAUGACAAAUUUUGUAUUUAACCAGAAGUUCAAUUAUUGAAUAUAUUAUUAUUUGGCACAAUUAGUUGGAUCAUCACUGGAUCAAUAAAUGAUGCGAAAUUGAAAAUUCAAACAUUCAAUGAAAAAUUAGAAAAUUCUUCAGUCCAAUGAAUUUCUAUAUAUCAAUAUUUGUUAUCUUUAUUAAAAAUAGGUUAUCACUAGCUAAAAAAUGGAUUGAUUUCUCUAUAUUCUUAAAAAAUAAUUAAGGUGAUAUAUAAGGGUCGUCACCUCUAUGUUGACCAUCCAAAUAUUAUUUAUAUUUAAUAGAUUUGAUACAUCUACUAAAUGAUUACAUGAUGUUCGCAACCUGAAGUUUACGAUAUAAUUGUUUAAAAGUUAAAUUAUGAUCAUAAUUUUUAGAUUAUACAAUCAAUACAAUGUGUCUUGUUAAUGCUGGUGAGUCCAAAUCCUAACUUUUAAAUAAAUAUUAGUUAGGAUCAAGAGCGGAGCCAGGAAAUUAGUUUAGUGAAGGCAAAAUUUUAUUGAUGCAAAAAAAAAAGCAAUAGGUCGUAUAGGAACUGCUCAAAUCAAUAUGCUUGAAAUUCAAACCGUAAAACAAGUCUAUGUAGUUGAAACUAUGAAUGAAUAAAUGCCUCAACAAAGGUCUAGAAAUUGUUGAGAAAUGCCAUCUUAUAUUUUCCAUGGCAUCUUCUUGACAUUGCCAUAAAAAAUGCCCAAUUGAGCCAUUCCAACCCAUAUUCAAAAUUCAAAAUGGUACAGACCUUUAACCAAUAACAAAUAAAUAAAACGACCAUUCAUUUUACAUUUUAAUUGAAAAAAAAAAAAAAAGAUGCACUCAUACAUACAAUUAAGCAAACACAUCAUUGGAAUUAAUUACCUCAAUUGUGUCAAAUGAUUCCAACCAAGAAUAAACAGGCUUCCAUUCAGGCGGCUACAGCAAAUGAUUGAUCUUUUAAUAAGCCAAAAUAUGGUAGUAGUCGAUCUUAGUGGUGAAACAAUUUCAAGGAAAUAGACAAAUAGAGAUUUGAGUUUAGAAAUAGCAACCCUAAUUUACCACAUAUUCUCUUGACAUCUUCUUCGCUUUAGCAAUCAGCACUGGUAUCACUGGGGCUCUACCAUCUCAUUUGCACCACCAAAAACCAUCUCAAGUCCCCACACGAUUAAAUCACUAAACUUUCUCAUCCUUUCCCUUUCUCUUCUUCGUCAAAUCGAUUGUUUAAGUAUCUCCAUCUCUAUUUGAUUAUCCUCUGUCUCUUCAUUGCCUUGGUCAACCAACUCCUCAUUUCAUCUGAGGCUGACCCCCUUCUCAAUGGUUGGACCCUUGCUCACCGCUUUCACUCCCUCCAAGUCGUUGCGUUUCUCCUCUGCUUUUCUCAUUUUGGACAACGGAGGAGAACUCCUGGGCUUUGCU